ACUAAAUUCAGUUUCACUUUUCACAUCAUAUAAAUAAUGUUUCUUGCUUUUUAUUUUCACACCGGGGCAUAAGAAAAAUUCCUCUAACAAUUAAGCCAGCUAUGGACAAUCUUCACCAGGACCCCUGAACAUGCAGAUAUAAAAUCGGUAAUGUAUAUUUAUUAUUCACAUUUCAAACUGAUCAGUUAAACAGGCCUUUUAUCUGAACACUGCAUUUUAUAGUGACAGACUAUAAAUAUCUGUGUACAAUCUGCACAUGAUUUGUAAAUCAUGCAAAGCAAAAUCUGUGCGUUGAGUAUCUAAUGACUUGGAUUUGCCAUGGUCCCACGAGGUCAAUAUUAUCCUGAUUUAUAAGGCAGCUUUUGGUGUAUGUUUUUUUUUUUUUUACAAUUCCAGCACCGUGUCUCUGCUCUCAUUAUCUGCACGGUGUCCUAGUGAGUUCUGGUGGGAGUUUUAUGACUGCAUUAAAUAAAUUGGACUUGCCCAGAUUUUCUCGAAGAAUAAUGUCCUGUUGGUCAAGCACAACCUAUUACCUGUAACCAACCUGAGUCAAUAUAUAUUCUAUCUCUCCUAGUUCAUCUGUUUACCUUUAGCCAUUAUCCUUUUCUUUAUAUAUAUAUCUGUCUUUUGUUACAUACGUGAUUGUGCACUUAUUGCCUGAACGGACAUAUUAUCUGCCUAACAGAAUGAUCUUUUACUGAAAACCCUAGAGAAAAGGAACAGGAAAUCUUACAGGCAAAGACAAAAAGAUGACAAUUUAAAGAAUAGAGAAGGUGGUUUAAAGCAACACUAUAGUCAGAAACUCAGCAAAAACAACCUUAACUUAAAGAAGCAGUUUUGGUGUGUAGCUUAUGCCCCUGCAGUCUCACUGCUCAAUUCUCUGCAAUUUUGGCAUUAGCUUAUUUAUUCGUUUCUGUCAAGGCAGCCCUAGCAACACCUCCCCUGGCAGUGACUGACACAAUCUGCAUGAAAACAAAAUGGUUUUACUUUCAAUCAGAUGAUACUUUACAGAAGAAGUUUUUAUCUCCUGUGAUUUGAACUUCAAUCACAUACAGCAAGGUCUGUUUGUUAAGUUAUUAACAGUGCAAUAGAUAAAAUCAAUUCUAAAAUAAACAGAAUGUGCAAUUAAGCUAAAGUUGGUUUGGUGACUACAACGUCCCUUUAAUAGUUGGUUCUAACCUUGUCCUUCGUCUGGUUUAAUGGCUACAAGUAGUGAUGUCCCGAACUGUUCGCCGAACUGUUUGCGAACGGUUCGCCACGGUUCGCCACAAACUCCAGUCAGCAGAAACAUUCCAGCCAAUCAGCAGCAGACACUCCCUCCCAGACCCUCCCACCUCCUGGACAGCAUCAGUGAAACUUUUUUCCAGGCAUUCUUAGUGAGCUAUCCAGGAGGUGGGAGGGGCUGGGAGGGAGGGUCUGCUGCUGAUUGGCUGGAAUGUGUCUGCUGACUGGAGUCCGUGGCGAACCGCGGCGAACCGUUCAGCGAACAGUUCGGGACAUCACUAGCUACAAGGCUUUGUGAGCGGAACUUGAAUGAAUAGAAGACAGAACAAAUAGAAGACAUAUCACUUUUAGCAUCCAAUCGGAAACGCCAACACCUAGAGUCCUGGUUUGUGUCUCAAAGAACUGAACCUAGACAUUUGUGUUUAUGUUUGGAAGAAUUUUUUAUUUUUUUAUCAUAGAGGAUGUUGUCAUUGUUCUUUAAUCACUGAUGACUUGUGCCACUCUUUAAUGAAUAUAAUUGUCAGAAUACCUGGGAUCCUAAAUGGUUCACCUGAUCUGAAUCCCUAGUUAGGAAUUGGUAUUUAAUGAUUAAUUGAAGAUUCCCUGUGCAGGGUCAGCCACAGCUCCCUCUUGUGUUUACUUGAUUCCUGAUCGCCUGAUUGUAUCAGCCUUUGCCAAAUGUAUCCAACCAUUGGUUUAUUGACUCGCUCAUGUUUUAUAUGGGAAUUUCCAAUUGUAAUUAAUAUUCCAAUCAUUCUCAGACAUCCAUAUUAUCCAGGCUAUGGGACUAGUUAGCUGUUCAUGUAAACAUACUCAUUACACAACUGGUUUAUGGGGACUUCUUUGUAAGAUUUACCGUGAUUCCAUCGUAUCCCUUUGUUCAGGGAUUUCAUCAAUCAUAGCUGCAUAUUCUUAAUAUAAUAUAAAUAUAGUGACUGUUUUCAACCUGGCUGUUCUACACAGCUCUCCCUGUUUCCAAAUGGACUGUGGUGGUCAAUGUCUGUAGGUCUGUAACUGCUUAACAUCUGUAGUACUUUUCUUGAUAAUUACCUUGAGAUUAAAAUUGACAUGAUUUUUAUCCUCAAUCCAGAUCUUCAAGGUUACAGAACAAAUUGUUCCUACUUUGUUUUCUUAAUACCAAGAGACUAUCUACAUCAGGGUUAGGCAACCUUCGGCAAUCAUAUAAUCAUACAAAAUCCUGACUCCUUUAGAAAGAGAACAGUGGACCAAAAAUCUACAGUCUGUCUUAAACAAAAUUCACCUCUUAGCAGUUUGUUUUGAUGGUUGUCUCAUGUUAUGAUAACCAUUAUGACUUAUUAAAAUAUAAUGCCUUACUGUGUAAAUGUAUGGGCUUAUGGGGUGUGGGAAGGACAGGGCUUCUGGUUGUCCAGUCUAUAUCUAGAAAUAUAAGCUGAUUACAAACCACUGCACAUAACAUGUCAACUGGACCUUCUCACCGCACACACUGCACACACAGCACACACAGCACACACAGCACACACUGCAAACACUGCAAAAGCAGCACACACCGCACUCACUGCACACACAGCACACACAGCACACACUGCAAACACCGCAAGAGCAGCACACACCGCACACACCGCACACACAGCACACACUGCAAACACAGCAAGAGCAACACACACCGCAUUCACUGCACACACAGCACACACAGCACACACAGCACACACUGCAAACACUGCAAGAGCAGCACACACCGCACACACCGCACACACAGCACACACUGCAAACACCGCAAGAGCAGCACACACUGCACACACCGCACACACAGCACACACUGCAAACACAGCAAGAGCAACACACACCGCAUUCACUGCACACGCAGCACACACAGCACACACAGCACACACUGCAAACAUUGCAAGAGCAGCACACACCGCACACACCGCACACACCGCACACACCGCAAGAGCAGCACACACCGCACACACUGCACACACCGCACACACCGCACACACCGCACACACCGCACACACAGCACACACAGCACACACAGCACACACAGCAAGAGCAACACACACCGCACACACUGCACACACAGCACACACCGCACACUGGAAUUACUGUUUUGAAUAGUUUGGACUAAAAAGUUAUUUUCAAUGUCUAGAUUGUCAUUUAGGACAUUUAUAUAAACUAGCCUUAGUAUAUCUUUUGUAAAAGUGCACAAAAUACAUGGUAAAGAAGACAUUGCAGUAGUUUUUGUUGUCCACUGCACACGGCAUUUGUUUUAUAACCUUGGUCUUAAAAUAAAUGACAGAUUACACCCCUUUAAAUCUGCACCGAUUACAGAUGUUUUCACAUUAGAUUUUUACAUUUACUCAUAGCAUUAGUGUCUAAAUACUUUAUGUUUUCUUUUAGAAACUUAUGUUUUACUCUUGGAUGCAUUUAUUGUCAUAAGUCUUGCAAUGAUUGGAGAUGACUGGAGAACAUACUACAAUGCACUAAAAGGUGGAGGACAGAUACAUGGAAUGAUCUGGGGAUAAUGCGUCUCUUUGAAUACGGUGAACAUUGCACUUUGACAUGGGGUCAUUUUCUGGAACUGUGUUUCCUUGCUGUUCUGCUCGAGUGGGUUGUGCUUUGCAGUCUUUGCAUUCGUUUUUUUUUUUUUUUUUAUCUUCUGAUAGAAGUCUGGGAACUGCAUAAAUUAAAAAAAAAAUUGUUAUUGUGUUCCUUACUUUUUCUUCUUUAAGAGAAUAAUUCUUUACAAUUUAGAAACCUAACCCUGACAUUACAUGUAAAAAAUAAAGGUUGGAUUGUGACGUGCCUCUAAAGCUUUCUCAGCAGUUUCUAUAAUGUUCCACUGAGAUUAAUAUGACCCCUGUUUUUCACAGGUAUUUGGG